rnacentral:misc_RNA from 1 species
AACCUAGCACACCUGCGGUGUGUACCUGCGGAAGGAUCAUUACAGAGUUGCAAAACUCCCAACCAUUGUGAACCUACCUCACCGUUGCUUCGGCGGGUGGCCCCCUCCAGGGCCGCGCCGGCCCCCCGCGGUCGGCAACCCGUCAGAAGACCUACACUCUCAGUCAUCAUUGGCCUCUCUGAGUAACUUAUACAAUAAGUCAAAACUUUUAACAACGGAUCUCAGAUCGGAAGAGCACAC